UGAGACCAUGGACGUGUUGGGGGCGCGAGUUCGUGGAAUGUAAUCCGAAUUGUGGAUGAGGAAUAAGUUGAUUAGUGGAUUUGUUGGGGCGAUAAAGUUAUAAGUCAGAACCCAGCACUACCUCAGCACAAACUGAAGUAGCUUGGACAUAAGAAGGAGCCAGAGUAUCGACGCAAGUCCCGUCCCACACCAGCGCUGUGAUGAAGCCACCAGGAUACAACAAUGGCUCGGCAACCCCCACAUACCACCACCUCAAUGAGGCUGGGCAAGAGGAGACGAGGGCAUCCUAAGGCCGGUGACAACCAACGAUCCAGUGGCACUUAACUGCAUUCUCAACACCAUAUUUAGCCGCUGCACGACGGGUGUGGGGUGCCGGAAUGCAGAAAUUGCCUGAUUCCCCAUUGAAAACACCGUCCGUAGUAAUGUUGAUAUUUAAUGUU